UACGGGGGGGGCAAGCGUUGUUCGGAAUUACUGGGCGUAAAGGGUGCGUAGGCGGCUUUCUAAGUUGGAUGCGAAAACUAUGGGCUCAACCCAUAGCCUGCAUCCAAAACUGGAGAGCUUGGGUUCUGGAGGGGAAAGCGGAAUUCCUGGUGUAGCGGUGAAAUGCGUAGAUAUCAGGAGGAACACCAGUGGCGAAGGCGGUGGUCUGGGCCGAUACUGACGCUGAGGUGCGAAAGCGUGGGGAGCAAACAGG
rnacentral:rRNA from 1 species